GGCACCUGCACGCGUUGCGGUGCAACGAUGGUCAAAGA
rnacentral:ncRNA from 1 species